rnacentral:rRNA from 1 species
AUUGAACGCUGGCGGCAGGCUUAACACAUGCAAGUCGAACGGUAACAGGAGAAAGCUUGCUUUCUUGCUGACGAGUGGCGGACGGGUGAGUAAUGCUUGGGAAUCUGGCUUAUGGAGGGGGAUAACGACGGGAAACUGUCGCUAAUACCGCGUAGAGUCGGGAGACGAAAGUGCGGGACCGCAAGGCCGCAUGCCAUGAGAUGAGCCCAAGUGGGAUUAGGUAGUUGGUGGGGUAAAGGCCUACCAAGCCGACGAUCUCUAGCUGGUCUGAGAGGAUGACCAGCCACACCGGGACUGAGACACGGCCCGGACUCCUACGGGAGGCAGCAGUGGGGAAUAUUGCGCAAUGGGGGCAACCCUGACGCAGCCAUGCCGCGUGAAUGAAGAAGGCCUUCGGGUUGUAAAGUUCUUUCGGUGACGAGGAAGGCGUGAUGUUUAAUAGGCAUCACGAUUGACGUUAAUCACAGAAGAAGCACCGGCUAACUCCGUGCCAGCAGCCGCGGUAAUACGGAGGGUGCGAGCGUUAAUCGGAAUAACUGGGCGUAAAGGGCACGCAGGCGGCUAUUUAAGUGAGGUGUGAAAUCCCCGGGCUUAACCUGGGAAUUGCAUUUCAGACUGGGUAGCUAGAGUACUUUAGGGAGGGGUAGAAUUCCACGUGUAGCGGUGAAAUGCGUAGAGAUGUGGAGGAAUACCGAAGGCGAAGGCAGCCCCUUGGGAAUGUACUGACGCUCAUGUGCGAAAGCGUGGGGAGCAAACAGG